GUUUUCAAUUAGAUUAAAAAGCUUAAAUAUUACAUAUAAAAAGAAGAUUAAAAUUUAGAGUAACUUUGUGAAAUAUUUUAGAAGCUUAGAAAAUUAGUACCGUGAGGGAAAUUUGAAAUAGUAGAAAAUUGAUUAUAAAAAUAGUAUUGAGUAAUCAAGUACCUUUUGUAUUAGGGUUAACCAAAUUUUAAAGUUAACAUUUAAUCCCGAAAAUAAAAGACCUACUUUAAUCUUUCAGUUUAUGUAUCAACAUAAUUUUAUAGUUUAGACUAGUGGUUAAAUGCUAACCGAUUUUAUUAAUAUCUGGCUGUCUUCAAAAUGAAUUUAGUUCAGUUUGUUGUGAAGGUUGAGAACCUAAAACUUUACCCUUAAUUACAAAUAUAUAGAAUAGGGGAUGAUCUCUGUUCUUAUUUAGAAACUAUAAAAAUUGCAUUUUCUUUACCUAGGCUUGAAAUUAGCUUUUCUAAAGUGUUAUAACUAAUUAAUUUAAUAAAAUAAUUUAUCGGAUGUUCUAUUUAAAAGAAGACUAACUCAAAAACAAUUUUUGGGGAGCAAAAAUGAUUAAAUUAGUAGAUUGUAAAGUUUGGAAAUAAAUUAAAUCUAAUCCAAGAAAAUUAUAAAAAAAAGUAUUCUUAAAGAAUUCGGCAAAAAAAUUUCCGAAUGUUUAACAAAAACAUUUCUUCCUAUAUAAGGAGGUAAGGCCUGCUCACUGAAUUUUGAAGAGCCGCAGUAUCCUGACUGUGCUAAGGUAGCAUAAUAAUUUGUCUCUUAAUUGGGGACUAGAAUGAAUGGUCUAACGAGAAAUUAACUUUUUUAGGAAUAAUAAUUAAACUUAAUUUUUUAGUGAAAAAGCUAAAAUAAGAUAAAAAGACGAGAAGACCCUAUAGAGUUUUAUAUAUAAACUAUUUACAUUUUAAUAACUUUUUAGAAUUGUAAAUAAAGACUAUAUUUUGUUGGGGCGACAUUUAGAUAAAAAAAACUUUUUAUAUUAAAAACUCAAAUUUGAGUAUUUACUGAUCCUUAAAAAAGAUUAAAAGUAUAAAUUACCUUAGGGAUAACAGCGUAAUCUCCCUUGAGAGCUCAAAUCGACAGGGAGGUUUGCGACCUCGAUGUUGGACUAAAAUUAAACUAAGGUGCAGAAGUCUUAGAUUUAGGUCUGUUCGACCUAUAGAUUUUUACAUGAUCUGAGUUCAGACCGGCGGGAGCCAGGUUGGUUUCUAUCUUUUAUAUUUUUUCUUUUAAUUUAGUACGAAAGGACCAAUUAAGAAUAAAAUUUAUAAAUAAAGACUAUGAGUAAUUGUUAAUAAAU
rnacentral:rRNA from 1 species